AAAAUGCUAACUCGGAUUCUAAUUCCAGAAUAGCAUAUUUUCAAUCACAAAGCAAGCAGUCAAAAAAGGGAAACAAUUACAAAAACAAAGAGAUCUUCCCCCAACCCACAACAAGACCACCAAAAUACUUUGGUAACAAAUAUCAAAUACAGGUUUUGAAACAUUGAAAUAGAAUAAAAAGCCUAAAUAAGCGACCUCACAUAGCUAAAAAAGAAGCAGAUACUCCUUGGAUUUUUCAACUUUAUGGUUCUUGAAAGUAUUUCAAUAAAAACCCAAGAGAGUUAUGCAGAUCAAGGCCCAUAAAUUAUAUAUACAAUACAAAACACAAACACCAAGAAGGGAGUCAAAUUAAUUUACCUGCUUGAGAGCGUUAGCGAGAGAGUGAACAGUCAAUGAAGACCAACAGAUCAACCUGGUCAUCACAAAAUUCAACGUCAGAAACAACAACCAACCUCACCACAAACCCUUGGUCACUGAAAAAGACUAUAAGUUGGGAAUCUGAGAAAAGGGUCUUCCCCCUCAAAUACCCAGUCGAAAGAUUCAAGUUUUCUCCCCAUAUUUUUCCUAGUCUUUUAUUUUUCUGAAAAAAAAUAUAAUAAUAAUAAUAAUAGGGUUUGGGUUUACUCACUUGGCUUCUUGGGAUUGCACGAUCUGAUUCCCAGACGUGGUUGUUGAGAAUGAUAACGAACGGUGAGUUUCGUACAGAGGAAGAAGAAGAAAGAAAGAACGAUAAAAAGUAGAGAAAUAGAAUGGAUGAGUUACCUUCUUUCUCAGACGGCUGCAAAAUCGUAAGAAGAGAAGAGAGGCGGAUCAAAUGAGGGUUUGUGCAAAAAAAUUUCUAUAUACAUGAGUAUUAGCGGCGGGAGCAGCCGCUGUUAUUAUUCUGCCGCGGCUAAUAAUAUUCACUACAACAUUUUCAAAAACUUCCAUUGUUGAGGAAUUGGGCCAGUAACUAACUCCACCGGUUCGUGAAUAUUGGGUCUAUGAAUAUGAUAAGGUUAUCACUUUAGGGAAAGUAAACGAGACCUUCUGUCAGAAAAAAAAACUUUCCCUCUGUCUCUGAACGAAAAAUUAUCUUCUCUGGCUGGUCUUCUUCCUGCCAGUGGUGACCUCGCCGCCGAUCUAAUCACCGGAAGAUUCAGCUUUCGUAUGCUCCUUGUAACAUUUUCCUCAUCAUUGCUACUACUUUCUUAUGUAGUCAUCUAAAGAGGGAUAAUUGCUUGGAAGAAGCAUAACAUCAACCAUCAGGUUUAUCAUACUUUGUCGAAGCAGAGAAGAAAGACUCAGGAGUUCUUGUACUUGAUUUUGGGUCCUUGACAAGCUUUUAUGAUAGUUAGCUUUAUUCAGGCUCUUCAUUAUUGAUUUUUCUAAAUUUGAACACUGUGAGAUGUACAUGUAAAGAGGUAAAAAGCUAUUGGUGAUAAAAAAUUUAUUGCAGAAUUUGAGAUUCUGUACUGACAGAUUCUUAUGCUACUUAAAGUCUUCUAUGCAGCUUUGAAAGUCUUUAUGGCUUGGGUAGUUUUAGAGGAGUAGGGCUAAAGCUAAAGCCUUUCAAUUAAGGUAAUGUGACAUCUCAAUUUUAGAAGAGUAAAAAUGCCAUUAUAUGCUCAUGAAAAACACUAGUCAGAUUUAUCUUUUCGAUAGCAUAAGAACUCACAUGGUCAUACUGCCUAUUUCUGAUUAUUGUUAUAUUUUUGAAGCUCAAAAUAAUAAAUAAAUAAAUAAAUAUUUCUUGGUUUUUAUUCUCUCUUUUCUUGGUCUAUAUGAAGACUUAAAGAAGCUUUUUAUCUUUAAAUCUCACUUUGGAGCUUGAGCGAGAAUCAAUUUUACUUCAACUUUAAGAAUUUUGAAGAGUUAGUGACCAGUAGGAACAGGGAUGAAGUUGAAAAGUAUCUUUCCGGGCUCACCAGAAUGGAUGUCAACAUAUUUUAUGAACAUCUACUUUGAAAUUUGAAAGCAAAAGUACCUUGAGGGAGGCAUUGGAUAAGUAGAUAUUUUUUUCUUGGUGUUCUUAUUCUAGAACAAUGCUUUAUGCUGUAUCAAUCAAUUAAAACCAUUUCAGGUCUGAUCAAAUUAUGGCAGUAGAAAUCCUUACCAGUUUCUGCAUAAUCUUAGAAACAUUAGAUAGUCUUUGCUUGAUGUGCACAUAUGAAAGUUAAACUCUAUUGGCCUCAAGAGCUGCAUUGAGACUACAAUUAUGGUAAGUUUAUCUUUAUGGUCUAAAUUUGAACUCUUGCCACCACAUACAAAUUUCAGAUUCCAAAUUUACAAUUGGCUUAAUUGUAUUUGAAUGAUGUGAGUAGCUGCUGCCCUGUUUUCUUGAAACUUUGGUACUUUAAAUGAUUUAUUUUUUUCCAAUUCUUUUUGACAGUGUGUUUCUUUUUUUAUUUGACAAAGCUAUGCAAGAGACACUAUUAUCACCAUUCACAGUCCACCGACCACCCCAUCCCUGUUCAGGAGGAGUUGUUCUGGGAUUUUCAUGGUUUCUAAAUCUAACUAAAUAGUAAAGCUUUUCCUAGAGAAGGUAAGCUUAGGAUCAAGUUCUUUCUCAGUUGUUGAGUAUUUGUUUUGUGUUAUGAUAGGUGAAAGUGCACCCUGUUUUUCACUCCUAAUUUUCAUGUGUGUAUUUAUAUAAAAGUUUCUUUCGAAAUUUUAGAAUCAUAUGUACAGAUCCUUAUGUUACUUAAAUUCUUCCAUGCAGUUUUGAGUCUAUUUUUGCUUGGGUAGUAUUAUAUAUCCUCU